CCUACGGGCGGCUGCAGUAGGGAAUCUUCCACAAUGGGCGAAAGCCUGAUGGAGCAACGCCGCGUGGGUGAAGAAGGUCUUCUGAUCGUAAAACCCUGUUGUUAGAGAAGAAAGUGCGUGCGAGUAACUGUUCACGUUUCGACGUUAUCUACCCAGAAAGCCACGGCUAACUACGUGCCAGCAGCCGCGGUAAUACGUAGGUGGCAAGCGUUAUCCGGAUUGAUUGGGCGUAAAGGGAACGCAGACGGUCUGUUAAGUCAGAUGUGAAAGCCUUCGGUUUAACCGUAGGAGUGCAUUGGAAACUGGGAGACUUGAGUGCAGAAGAGGAGAGCGGAACUCGAGGUGUAGCGGUGAAAUGCGUAGAUAUAUGGAAGAACACCAGUGGCGAAGGCGGCUCUCUGGGCUGUAACUGACGCUGAGGUUCGAAAGCGUGGGUAGCAAACAGGAUUAGAUACCCCAGUAGUC
rnacentral:rRNA from 1 species